CAAGAAAUAGUUUUUUUUAAAAAUAUUAAUUUUGGGAAUUAAAGAUAAAGAAGUUUUCUUUUUUCUUGA
rnacentral:tRNA from 1 species